UUCUCGUUGAGGACGGCCGGUCCGCACUAUGUGCGUGUAUCUGGUUCGGCCUUGGCAUCCUCUUGAGGAACGUUCCUGCGCUUGAUUGCGUGGGGCGGUAUUCAAGACUUUUACUUUGAGGAAAUUAGAGUGUUCACGGCAGGCAAGCGCCUUGAAUACAUUAGCAUGGAAUAAUAAUAUAGGAUCUUGGUUCUAUUUGUUGGUUUCUAGGGCUAAGGUAAUGAUUAAUAGGGAUAAUUGGGGGCAUUUGUAUUAACGCGUCAGAGGUGGAAUUCUUGGAUUGCGUUACGACAAACUACUGCGAAAGCAUUUGCCAAGGAUGUUUUCAUUGAUCAAGAACGAAAGUAUGGGGAUCGAAGAUGAUUAGAUACCGUCGUAGUCUAUACCAUAAACUAUGCCGACUAGGGAUUGGAGGUCGUUCUUUUUAUGACUCCUUCAGCACCUUAUGAGAAAUCAAAGUCUUUGGGUUCCGGGGGGAGUAUAGUCGCAAGGCUGAAACUUAAAGGAAUUGACGGAAGGGCACCACCAGGAGUGGAGCCUGCGGCUUAAUUUGACCUCAACACGUGGAAACUCACC
rnacentral:rRNA from 1 species